UCAAAAGAGAAAAAAGAAAAAAAGAAUUGCCUUCUCCCAAUAAUACUCUUUAUCUCUCUCUCUCUCUCGGCAACCUUCGCAACCCGUCUUACCCAAAACUUCAUCCUCCAGACUAUCUCUACCUUCCUUCCCCAAAAGACUUCCAGUUCAGCUCUCUCGUUCGUAUCCUCUCCUCUCCGUCUCCCUUGGUAGCCUGUCCUCUCUCUCUCUACUUUCCUUCCUGCACCCACUUAUCCAUCUCUCCCUUCGUACCCUCUUUCUCUCUCGUUCCCAUGGUCAUUCAGCUUUUAGCAGGAAAAUCUCCCUUUCUCACCCUCUCUCUGGUUUGUGUCCUUUCUCCCAUCGAGGCGAAUCUCUAGCCAUUGUUUCCCCGUAAGCCUUCUCAGGGUCGCGUGCUCCAUGGUCCGUACGUGUGUCAGCUUUAACAAUUUCUCUGCCACAAGAUUGCGGAAGGGUAAGCACAUCUAACCUUUGAUGUCAAUCUCGCCCCUGUUAACCCGUGCCCCUGUGAUCUGCCUCCCUUAUCUCAACCUCGAUUAUAAAUCAAACAUCCACUUCUUGCAAGCGCGAACGCACUGAGUUGGAAAACCCAACAGUUGCAUUGACCAGAUUCAUAAUCACGGGGCCAACGACGCGAUCCUUUAGGAAGGAGUUUGCAGAUAAAGAGUUUGGAGUUUUUUGCUCAGGAGCUUCCUAUACUACUUUCAAGACCAUAUGGAAUGUUUGCCCUAUUCCCAGGCCAAUCGGUGUCGGUCACAAUUUUGCCACUUUGCUCUUGACCAUAAGUUAAUCAAAUGAAGGCAAAAGUUGCAAAGUUAUGAGGUUGAAGUUUGUUGCUCGGGGCGUCCUAUUCUACUUUCACAACCUUAUGGUAUGUAUCCACUGUCCUUAGGCUAAUCAAUGUUGGUCACAAUUUUGUUGCUCUGCUCUUGCACAUUAGCCAACCAAUUGAAGCCAAAGUUGCAAAGCUAUGAUGUUUUCGGGGGCAUCCUAUACUACUUUUGAGAUCGUAUGGUAUGUAUGCCCCAUCCUUAGGCCAAUUGGAGCGAGUCAUAAUUUUCCACUUUGCUUUUGCAUGUAAGCCAACAAAUUGAAGGCAAAGUGGAAAGUUAUGAGGUUCAAGUUUUUUGCUCAGUGGCUUCCUAUGCUACUUUCAAGACCUUAUGGUAUGUUUGCUCCAUGCCUGGGCAAUUGCUACUUGUCACAAUUUUGUCGCUUGCUCUUGCACAAAAGUUAACUAAUUGAAGGGAAAUGUUGCAAAGUUAUGAGGUUGGAAUUUUUUGCUCCAGGCUUCCUAUUCUACUUUCACAAUCUUAUGGUAUGUAUGCACUAUUCCCAAGCCAAUUGGUGCCCGUCACAGUUUAGCUACUUUACUCUUAACACAAAAACCAACCAGUUGAAGGCAAAGUUGAAAAGCUAUAAGGUUGGAGUUUUUUGCUCGGGGGCUUCCUAUACCACUUUCAGGACCUUUUGGUAUGCAUGCCUCGUCCUAGGGCCAAUUGGAGCUGAUCAUAAUUCUGCCACUUUGCUCUGGUGCAUAAGCUAACCAAUUGAAGGCAAAGUUAUGGGCUUUUGGUUUUUUGCUCAGGGGCUUCCUUUACUACUUUCACGACAUUAUGGUGCUUCUUAUACUACUUUCACGACCUUAUGGUAUGUAUGCAUCAUCUCUGGGCCAAUUGGAGCUGGUCAAAAUUUUGCCACUUUACUCUUGCUCAGAAGCUAACUAAUUGAAGGUGAAGGUUCAAAGUUGGCAUUUAGACUGUUGGAUUUGUUAGUGUUGCUCAGGUAUUAUCACGUAGCGCACUCCAUCUCGGACAAAGAAGAAUGAUGGAAAAGUAAUGUAAACUAGGCCUGAAGGAACAAGCUCUCAGCCCCUUUGAAACAAUAUAUUAAAUCUAAUAAAAUAAGGAUAACGCAUGAUCCAUGAAACCCAUCAAGUCCAGCCCAUCUCGCAAGCAGAUGCAACACCAGUUUAACUUAAUUGACCAACUGACAAGAGUUAGUCAAUGCAUACUCUUUUCUUUUCUCUGUCUCAAAACUUUACUUUACAAACUUUCUCUUCCGUACAAAUCUUAGGUAUGAGCUUGUGACAGAAAGAUGAUCAAUACUAGUAUGACACAAGUUAGGACACCCGAAACUAAUAGGUUCAAUCACAUGACAGUAGCGUGUGUUUGGAAUAUGGGUUAUCACCUCCGUUGUAGCCAUGUAAACAAAUGAUAUUGGAAUGAAAACCAGUACAAUUAUAACGUCGACCAUGUUCAAAGGAGAAUUGGAUGAGUUCAUCAUUGGUAAAAGCUUAAGCAGCACCUCAACUAGCUUGUUCAUAAUUCUUAUGAAUAUGGCGGUUUAAUCGUAAUCAAUCCCAUCUUGUUCUCUCGCACUGCCAAAUAAAUAAAAGAGGACAUAAAAAUAAUACUACAAAUACAGACUCAAUUCUGAUUUGUUUGAGAUGAAAAUAAUCAAGAUUGAGCCUAUAUUAGUAGUAUUAUUUUUAUCUCUUAUUUUAUUUGUUAGGCAAUGCAAGAGAACAAGAUGAGAUUGAUUAUGAUUACACUGCCAUAUUCAUAAGAAUUAUGAACAAGCUAGUUGCGAUGCUGCUUAAGCUUCUACUAGUGAUGAACUCAUAUGGUUCUCUUUUGAACAUGGUCGACGUUAUAAUUGUACUGAUUUUCAUUCCAAUAUCAUUUGUUUACAUGGCCACAACGGAUGUGAUAAUCCAUAUUCCAAACACGUGCUAUCAUUAUGUGAUUGAACCCAUCAGUUUUGGGUGUCCUAACUUGUGUCAUACUACUAUUGAUCAUCUUUUUGUCACAAGCUUGGACCUAGGGUUUGUACGGAAGAGCGAGUUUGCGAAGUAAAGUUUUGAAAUAGAGAAAAGAAGAGAGUCUGCAUUGGCUAACUCGUCUGUUGAUCAAUUGUGUUAAACUGGUAUUGCAUCUGCUUGUGAUGGGCUUCAUGGACCAUGCGUUAUCCUUAUUUUAUUAGAUUUAAUAUGUUAUUUCAGAGGGGCCAAAAGCUUGUUCCUUCAGGCCUAGUUUACUUUACUUUUGGACCUGUGUUUUAUUUACUUUGGACUACUUUUAUUUACGUUUGUAUUAGAACUAGACCAUAGCCUCUAUUGCUUAUUCACUACAAGAAAAAUCCAUUUUUGUGGCAAAAAACAAUUGGGGUGGGUAAUUUUUGGAAGCAAGAGAGCACAAUUUAUUGUAGCCGCAUUUUUGUUCUGGUGAUCAAAAAAAUUCACAACAAAAAAGAGCUUUUACAUGA